UUCACGUAGCAGAAAUGUUCAAAAUGAUGCACGUGCCAGGAGAGAUCCAGUGUCAGGGUCCGACUUUUACACUUUUGGUUGUUGCUGCACUUUGGUGACGCUCCCUAAAUAUGUCGCCCCCUCAGAGUCGCACUAAUUGCUUGUUGGAUUGCAUUGGACUGUUUCUAGUCUUGCAGACUCUUUAUAAAGGGUGCUCUACAGAGAAGAGAGGAGACACUCCCUUUCGACCAGACCAGACCAGACCAGACCUCCAGGCUCCUCUCCAUCACCCUGACUUUUAACUCUAAAGAAAUCCAACUAAAUGCAAUCCAUGACUCAGGCAUUCGAGGGUCUGAAUACAACGUGCAUUAUGAAGCAUUAUAAGCGCUCAUUAAACGGUUUGAUGAAAUACUUA